UACGGAAGGUCCAAGCUGUUAAUGCGGAAUUACUGAUGCGUAAAGCGCGCGUAGGUGGAUUAUUAAGUUGGGAGUGAAAGCCCCGGGCUCAACCUGGGAACUGCAUCCAAAACUGAUUCACUAGAGUACGAAAGAGGGAGGUAGAAUUCACAGUGUAGCGGUGGAAUGCGUAGAUAUUGUGAAGAAUAUCAAUGGCGAAGGCAGCCUCCUGGUUCUGUACUGACACUGAGGUGCGAAAGCGUGGGUAGCGAACAGGAUUAGAUACCCUGGUAGUCCACGCCGUAAACGAUGACAACUAGCUGUUGGGAAGCAAUGCUUUUCAGUGGCGCAGCUAACGUAUUAAGUUGUCCGCCUGGGGAGUACGGCCGCAAGGUUAAAACUCAAAUGAAUUGACGGGGACCCGCACAAGCGGUGGAGCAUGUGGUUUAAUUCGAUGCAACGCGAAAAACCUUACCUACUCUUGACAUCCUUGGAAUCUCUUGUAAUGAGGGAGUGCCUUUUGGAACCAAGUGACAGGUGCUGCAUGGCUGUCGUCAGCUCGUGUCGUGAGAUGUUCCGUUAAGUCGGAUAACGAGCGCAACCCUUACCCUUAUUUGCCAGCGGUUCGGCCGGGAACUAUAAGGGGACUGCCGGUGAUAAACCGGAGGAAGGUGAGGAUGACGUCAAGUCAUCAUGGCCCUUACGAGUAGGGCUACACACGUGCUACAAUGGGAAGUACAGAGGGACGCCAAAGCGUGAGCUGGAGCUAAUCUCAUAAAACUUUUCGUAGUCCGGAUUGCAGUCUGCAACUCGACUGCAUGAAGUCGGAAUCGCUAGUAAUCGCGGAUCAGCACGCCGCGGUGAAUACGUUCUCGGGUCU
rnacentral:rRNA from 1 species